UUAGCUCAUAUUUGUAUGGAACGGGAUCGUUUGCCUACGUUUACCGCUAGGGGCGCUGUUCCAACUGCAUACAAAAUUGGGCUU
rnacentral:pre_miRNA from 1 species